AUGGCCUUUUAUGUACUGAUUCAACAAUGCAGAUUCUUUUCUCCUCUAUGAUUCCUGAGCCUUCAACUUAGUCUUCUUUAUCCAGCUGAGGGGAAUAAGGAAGAGAACGCACAGGGAAUUAUGUGGAGGAGGUUAGGGACAGGCUUGGCAGUGACCUGUAUCACUUUCAUUUAUGUUCCAUUGACUGGAAUAUGGCAGAUCUAACUGCAAGACACCUGGGAUUGAAGAGAAGCACAUAGAUACUGCUUCCGUGUUAUCUGAAGACCACUUAACUGAUCACCAGAUGUCUGGAAACCUCACUUCAGGAAACCCUGCUCCACAUAUUUGAGGAAUGGAAAUUGAUGCAACAUCUGGGUUAAAAUUAUACAGAAGUGUAAUAGUUAAGAUAUGUUUCUCACCUCUACCCUGUUUUCAUGCUUUUACUUCUACUGGUGGAGAGGCUCAAAGCCAUUCCCUGGUACUAAGCCUAGACCCGAUACUUUCUUCUCCACAUUUGAGAAUGCUUUACUAAUUGUUUGAAAGCUUCCAUAGUGAUCAUGGUGCUCUAGAAGUCAUUGGCGGUGGGACAACAGAACCUCAUAGAACUUUUUCCCCAAUAAAAUCAUCUUUUAAAACUG